GUCUCAAACUCCUGGACUCAAGUGAUCCUCCCACCUUGGCCUCCCAAAAUGCUGAGACUAUAGGCAUGAGCCACUGUGCACAGCUGAAAUGCCCCUCUGAAGCAUAUGGGGUGGGACUUCUUGGCCUCAUUUUCCAGAUAAGUGGCUGAAUCUCAGAGAAGAAAAGGGACUGGCCAAGGCCACCCAGGGGGGGCAAAACUACCAGCUGACCCUAAUAUCUUCUUACAUCAGAUGAGGAUUUUUGGCUGGCUCAUGGUCCUAUCAGCUAAAGAUCACCCUUCUUGGCCUCCCCUGCAAGGAGUAUGGUAAUGUAAAGUAAAGCUAAUAAAGUAAGUUGUGCCACUUUGGGAUUAUAUUUUCCCUCUGAUAGAAUGCAGUUGUGAUGGUAGGAGCUGGAGCAGCCAUGUUGAAUCAUGAGGUGGGAGCCAUGAAUAAAGAUUGGGAAACCAAGAAAGAGAGGGAAGCUGAGACCCUGCCCUAUAGAGCCCCCUUAUCUGUUCUGAAUAGUUGAUACUUGGACUGUUACCCAAGAAAGAAAUACAUUUGUCUCUGCCUGGCCUUUGUCACAGCAGCCAUACCUAUAUCUUACCUUAUUUUGAAUCAUGCAAAAAAUGGGUAGAUGGAUAUUUGUCCACUGUGGUGUCGUGUUUGAGAUCUUUUGGCUUAAGACACUGGCUCCAUGACUCAUGCAUGGGGAAGCCCCCUAAAGAGAUAAGCACUUACCCAGGGUACAGAGGAGUAGAAACUAAGCAUGAAGAGAGGCUCUCAGGACUGCCAGUGGGAAAAGGGUGCUAUGGCUUGGAUAUUUGUUCCCUACAAACCUCAUGUUGAAAUUUGAUCCCCAAUGUUGGAGGUGGGGCCAAAUGGGAGGUGUUUAGGGCAUGGGGCAUGGGGAUGGAUCUCUCCCUCCCAUGGGGUGAGUUCUUGUUCUAUUAGUUUCCAAGAGAGCUGGUUGUUAAAAAGAGCCUGGCACCUGCCCCUACUCUUGCUUCUUCUCUGUCCAUGUGAUCUCUGCACACGUGGACUUCUCUUCACCUCCCACCACAAGUGGAAGCAGUCUGAGGCCCUCACUGGAUGCCCAGUCUUGAACUUCCAGCCAGCAGAAUCAUGAGCCAAAUAAACCUCUUUUCUUUGUAAAUUACCCAGCAUCAGUUAUUCCUUUAUAGCAACAUGAAAUGGACCAAGACAAAGGGACUUCAGUAUUAAGAUACUAAGCAUAAAAAAUGGCAGUUUCCAUAGGUGCCCCAGUGUAAGAGCUACAUGGGCAGACACUCCAAAACACAAGUGCUACUUUGCACUGUGCUGCUUCUCCCAGGGCCCAGAGAGAUUAAGCAACUUGACCAAGGUCCCACUGGUAAGUGGCAGAGCUAGGACUUAAGUCCAGCUGUGAUAUGAUUUGGAUUUGUGUCCCACCCAAAUUUCAUGUUGAACUGUAAUCCCCAAUGUUGGAGGUGGGGCUUGGUGGGAGGUGAUUGGAUCAGGGGGGCAGUUUCUCGUGAAUGGGUGCUCAUGAACAGCAUCCCCUGCGUGCUGUCCUUCUGAUAGUGAGUGAGUGAGUUAUUGCAAGAUCUGUUUGUUUAAAAGUGCGUAGUACCUCCCCCCUUUGGAGCAACAGGAAUUCUCAUUCACUGUUGGUGGGGAUGCAAUAAUGGUGAAGCCACUCUGGAAGACAGCUUGGCAGUUUUUAACAAAAUAAACAUACUCCUACCAUGCAACCCAGGAAUCAGGCCCAUUGGCAUUUACCCACAUGAGCUAGAAACUCAUGUCUACACAAAAAACUACACAUGGAUGUUUAUAGCAGCUUUAUGCAUGAUUGUCGGAACUUGGAAGCAACCAAGAUGUCCCUCGGCAGGUGAAUGGAUAAAAACCGAGGUACAUCCAGACAAUGGAAUAUUAUUCACUGCUAAAAAGAAAUGAGCUAUCAAGCCACAAAAAUACAUGGAGGAAACUUACAUGCAUGUUAGUAAGUGAAAGAAGCCAAUCUGAAAAGGCUAUUCUCUGUAUGAUUCCAACUCUAUGACAUUCUGGAAAAUCUAUGGAGACAGCAAAAAGAUCAGUGGUUGCCAGGGGUUGAGGGGAGACAGGAAUAAACGGGUGGAGCACAGGGGAUUUUUAGAGCAGGGCAAACUCUGUAUGGCACAGUAAUGGUGGAUUCAUGUCAUUACCCAUUGGCCCAGCCUCACAGAAUGUACCUCGAGCACAUUCAUCCACCCUAAUGUAAACCAUGGACUUGGGGUGAUGAUGUGUCAAUAUAGAUUCAUCAGUUGUAACAAAUGUUCCACUCUGGAGAGGGAUGUUGAGAAUGGGACAAGCUGUGCCUGUUUUGGGGGAGGGCGGACAAGGGAAACCUCUAUCUUCUGUUCAGUUUUGCUGUGAACCUAAAACUGCUCUAAAAAGUAGAAUCUAUUUUUAAAAAUCUGAGGGUUUGGGUUGAGGACUGAGGACUUAUAGGGCCGUCUCCAGGCCUUUAGGAUGGUCCUGGCUUCUGGUCCCAGAGCUCAUGAGGGGUAUCCCAGUAUUGUACAGGAGAACCAGGAGAGGCUUACAGCAGAUUUGGAGCCAGGGAGCCCAGGCUCGUCUGCUUCUGAGGGGCAGCCUGGGGCCCUCAGUGGUACAGGAGCAGUGGCCCCUGACUGGCAUGAGGUUGGCAUAAGCCUUCCCUGGGAUAUACUCAGAGCUUGGCAUGUUCAAGUUGAAAAUCAUUCUUAGAAUUUCUCGGCCGAGCGCGGUAUCUCACACCUGUAAUCCCAGCACUUUGGGAGGCUGCGGUGGGUGGAUCCUAGCCCAGGUUUCUCAGCUGAGGCACUGCUGACAUUUUGGGUUGGAUAACUCUAUGUUGUGAAAUUCUGUCCUGUGCACUGUAGGAUUCAGCAUCUGUGGUCUCCACCCACUAGAUACCAGACACACCUUCCCUCCCUGUUGUAACAAUGCAGAAUGUCUCCAGACAUGGCCAAAUGCCCCAUUGAGAACACUGCUCUCAUCACCUUCACUUUCCAGAUAGGGAAAACUGAGGCCUGUGGGGGCCAGGACUUACCCAGGGUUUCACAGCACCUGAGAGCUGCUCAGGCAAGGUGGAUUUGGAGCUGCCCUGCCCAAUUCCUUGGCACUCGAAAAUCCAGCACAUGCCCAAUGUCCCAGGCAAGCUGUGGCUCUGCACCUGUGGGCUCCAUCCACCGGGGCCAGGGUGAGAAGGAGGCAGUGAAUGCCCCAGGAGCAGCCCCCCGUAGUGAUGGUCUGGGUGGAGGGUAAAUGCCCCAUCUCCCUCGCCCCAAAGUGGAAUUGAGCCUCAGUUGCUCAUCACCUAUUCUGACUUCGUUUCCUUCCUGGAUCCCUCCCCAAAUAAACUAUUCCCACCCGCAUCCUUAUCUCAGGAUCUGUUUCUAGGGAACCCAAGGAUUGCAUUGUAUCUUGCCUGUACUUCCUGCCUUCAAGAUUCUCUGCACCAGGUUAUGAUCUGGAGUAUUCCUGAGCCUGGGAAGCCAACAGACUGUCUAUGUUUGUCCGGUGGCUGGAGCCCAGCUGGUGACUGCGGUGGUAUGGAAAGAAGGGGCCUGUUUGUUGAAGCCAAGGUGCUGGAAGAACUGCCUGUGUCGUACUGACAAGCCAAAGAAACUGAACACUCCCGGAGAUCCAGCAUCCAGACCAAGAAACAGGAUGUUUGCAGCCCCCAGAAGCCCCUGUGGGGGUCAGUCGCUUCCAGCCACUCCCCUGCCAGAGGAACCAUUGUCCUGCCUCCUAAUAGCACAGUUUUUGUUUCCUUUCUGGAUUUUAAAUAUUCUCCAGUUUAGGCAUGGUGCCUCACACCUGUAAUCCCAGCAUGUUGAGAGGCCAAAGUGGGAAGAUUGCUUGAGCCCAUGAGUUUGAAACCAGCCUGGGCAACAGAGUGAGACCUCGUCUCUAAAAAAAAUUAAAAAAUUAGCUGAGCUUGGUGGUGCAUGUCUAUAGUCCCAGCUACUUGGGAGGCUGAGACAGGAGGCUCAUUUGAGCCCAGGAGUUCGAGGCUAUAGUGAGCUGUGAUUAUGUCACUACACUCCAGCCUGGGUGACAAAGUGAGAUGCUGUCUGUAAAAAUAAAUAAUAUAAUAAAUAUAUAAAUAUAAUAAAUAAAUAAAUAAAAUAUAAUAAAUGAGUAUUCUCCUUUCCUGGUGAGGGGUGGAGGCUGGCAGGAGGGCCAGGCUGAGGAUGUCAGAAGAGAAACCUUACUCCCAGAUCCUAGAAGGAGAGAGGCACCCCAGCGAGGCGUGGGGACUGGGGCCUUUGAGGCUUCCUCCUCACAGCCCCUUGCACCUUCCCACCUGCUGGGAGUUUUAGGGGGUUUCCAGAGGCUGCAGAACCAGGACAAUAUUUUCUAGAGUCCUUGAGUUUGGUGUGACCACAGGCAGCCUGAAACCGAAAGCCAGGCCUUGGGACUGGGCGGCUGCUUCCCUUGGCUGGGAUUUAAGCACAGGCCAG
rnacentral:lncRNA from 1 species